GAGAGAAACCGGCCAACCACACUUGAGAGGCCAAGCGCUGGCGAGUGAAUGCGCGUGCGUAGUGUGUUUCCGCUGUUUUUCCGGUCUGCGAUCUCAGCCGCCCCGAGUGACAAAAGCGAGCAGGAGGCGGAAGGAAGGAGGAAGACUCCUACUAGGAUCUGGAGAAACUGAAUUUGCACUUUCCUGUGAAUGGCCCAUGGAAAAUACUACUUUUAACUUAAUAUGAUUAUGAAUCAGCUUUGGGUCCAAUCAGAUGACGGAUCUUAUCAACUGAGGAGUUUGUCCUGAUACCUCGAUUUUAGCUGAGUUUUGUGUCCAGUGUUAUAAGAUGGUUGAAGGCAAAGGCAGAGAUUACCUGUAUUGAUGAACUGGACAGUGUGCUCACUAAGUUUCGAAAUCUUCCAGAACUUUUUCUUGCAAAUGAAUGCUACAGAUGGAGAAAAUGCACCUCAAGGAAA